GACGAACCGUGCGAACGUUAUUCGGAAUCACUGGGCUUAAAGCGCGUGUAGGCGGGCCGGCGCGUCGGACGCUGAAAGCCCCCGGCUCAACCGGGGAACGGGCGCCGAUACGGCCGGCCUGGAGGGGGGUAGGGGGCGCUGGAACUUCCGGUGGAGCGGUGAAAUGCGUUGAGAUCGGAAGGAACGCCCGCGGCGAAAGCGAGCGCCUGGACCCUUUCUGACGCUGAGACGCGAAAGCCAGGGGAGCGAACGGG
rnacentral:rRNA from 1 species